UUGACUCGCACGUGUCAUCCGUUUGAGCAUAGUUCAGACAUUUUCUUUUUUCGGUCUUUCUCUAAAACCGAUAAUAGAACUUCUUUAUCUCAUUAACUCUCUCUCUCUCUCAAAGCUAAGCUGAGUUGAGAUCAAUCGCUCAACAGAGAUCGUAUUACCACUCGAAGAAUAAUUGAAGAAUGUGCUAAACUUUUGUCUACAAGAUCGUGUUUGCUGUCCUCCUUUCUUUGGUGUUUAUCUAAGAAAUAAAUAUGCAUUAAGCAAUGGCAUUCUAAUAUAAUAGUGAAAUUAAUGGAGGACAGCUUAAACUUAGGAGAUCUGCGUGUGAAUACAGUUAGACAGUCAUCCUUUAGACAGGGUGGCAGCUUUAAGUCCACAUUGUCAGGAAGAUCGACACCAAAGAAUUCUCCUUCAUUUCGGAGAUUGAAUGCAAGCCGAACUCCAAGAAGAGACGCUAGAAGCAAUGCCUUACAGUGGUUUCGAAGCAAUCGAUUGGUAUAUUGGUUGCUUUUAAUUACUCUUUGGACUUAUCUUGGGUUUUAUGUUCAGUCCAGGUGGGCUCAUGGUGAUAACGAUAAUAAAUUUCUAGGAUUUGGAGGUAAACGCAGAAAUGGGAUUGUGGACUCUCAACAGAAUAAACGCCGUGAUUUGAUUGCCAAUGACAGUUAUCUGCCAGUAAAUAAAGGGGCAACUAACAUUGAGGUGUUAGAUACUAAAAAAAUAGAUGUGGUUUUGUCUGAUAAAGGGAAUGGUGCUUCUUCUCAUCGGGUUGUAACUAAACGAAAGAGGAGGAGGCAUAGUGUGCGUGGUAAAGGGCGUGGUAAACAGAAGACAAAGACAGAUGUUGAAAGCAAUGGCAUAGAGCCACAGCAGCCAGAAAUUCCUAAUACAAAUGCUUCUUAUGGUUUACUAUUUGGACCAUUUGGCCUGAUAGAGGAUAGGAUUUUAGAAUGGAGUCCGGAAAAGCGAUCAGGGACAUGUGACAGGAAGGGAGCCUUUGCACGUCUUGUCUGGUCUAGGAAGUUUAUUUUGAUUUUCCAUGAACUUUCAAUGACUGGUGCUCCACUUUCAAUGAUGGAAUUUGCAACAGAGCUUUUGAGCUGUGGAGCCACAGUUUCAGCUGUAGUUCUCAGUAAGAAAGGUGGAUUGAUGCCAGAACUCAGUAGGAGAAAAAUCAAAGUGCUUGAGGACAAAGGAGAACUGAGUUUUAAAGCUUCAAUGAAAGCAGAUCUUGUCAUUGCGGGAUCAGCAGUUUGUGCAUCAUGGAUUGAUCAAUAUAUCGAUCGUUUUCCAGCUGGCGGAAAUCAAAUCGUCUGGUGGAUCAUGGAAAAUCGAAGAGAGUACUUUGAUCGGGCAAAGCCUAUUCUUCACAUGGUGAAGAAGCUUAUUUUUCUUUCUGAAUCACAGACCAAACAAUGGCUAAUCUGGUGUGAUGAAGAAAAGAUCAAACUAAGAUCUCAGCCUGCAGUUGUUCCUCUUUCUGUUAAUGAUGAAUUGGCUUUUGUAGCUGGCUAUAAGUGUUCACUAAAUACUCCAACUAAUAGCCCUGAGAAGAUGCUGGAGAAAAUGCAACUAUUGCGAGAUUCAGUUCGAAAUGAGAUGGGAUUGACUGAUAAUGAUAUUCUUGUGAUGUCUCUAAGUAGUAUAAAUGCUGGAAAGGGCCAGCUCUUGCUUGUUGAGUCUGCUCAGCUAAUGUUUGAACAAGAAGCUUUAAGAAAUGAUUCUAGAAUAAGAAAAGUGAAUGAACGCAAGGGCAAAUAUACAUUGUCUGGAAGGCAUCAUUUACGAGGUUUGCUUCAAACAUCAAAUGAUGUUGCUGUAUCUUCAAGUGAAUUUUCCAUUUUCAGUGACUCUUUUACUAGGUUGGUUGAACCUAAGAGGAAUGGUUUACCAUUACCUAGUCUCUAUAACUCUGUCGAUGCAGAGGCUGUGAGCUUUAUCAGUGGUCAGAAAAGAAGGAAAGUGCUGUCUGAGGAUGGAGAAACAAAGAAACAGGCUCUUAAACUUCUUAUUGGUUCUGUUGGAUCUAAGAGCAAUAAGGUGCCUUAUGUCAAGGAGAUUUUACAGUUUUUAUCCCAGCACUCUAACUUGUCGAACUCUGUGAUGUGGACUCCAGCAACAACUCGUGUUGCAUCUCUUUACUCUGCAGCUGAUGUGUAUGUUAUUAACUCCCAGGGACUGGGAGAAACAUUUGGAAGAGUGACAAUUGAAGCAAUGGCAUUUGGUCUGCCGGUGCUUGGAACAGACACUGGAGGCACAAAAGAAAUUGUUGAGCACAAUGUAACAGGAUUACUGCAUCCUCCAGGCCAUCCAGGAAGCCCUGUUCUGGCUCAAAAUCUCAGGUUUUUGCUUAAAAACCCAUCAGCAAGGAAACAGAUGGGGAUGGAAGGAAGGAAAAAAGUCGGAAAACUGUACUUGAAGCGGCACAUGUACAAGAAAUUGGGAGAGGUUCUCUAUACGUGCAUGAGAUUCAAAUAAGGUCCACCACUAGGUGCAUCCCAAGCUGCCUUUCUCCCGGCCUUUCUAAGUCUCAACUCAAAGACCCCCGAUACUUUUGCAAGCUUGGCUGUGCCAUCUCCUCUUGCACCAAUAUCAGCACAAAAGACGACGCAGCUGCAGAGAAAGUGGGAUACUGUGUGAGUUCCUGCUCAAAGACUUGCACCAAGAAAUAGUGAUUGCUGAGAGCACCAAGAAAUAGUGAUUGCUGAGAACACCAUAUACCCAAGAAGAGUUACAGUUUAUUAGUUUAAUAAAAACUUUGUGUCGACUGCGUUUUUAACUUGUUAUCCAAUUGAAUAAAACAACGUUUGGUAA